rnacentral:rRNA from 1 species
AGUAAUAUAUCGGAACGUACCCUGGAGUGGGGGAGUAACGUAGCGAAAGUUACGCUAAUACCGCAUACGAUCUAAGGAUGAAAGCAGGGGACCGCAAGGCCUUGUGCUCCUGGAACGGCCGAUAUCUGAUUAGCUAGUUGGUGGGGUAAAGGCCUACCAAGGCAUCGAUCAGUAGCUGGUCUGAGAGGACGACCAGCCACACUGGAACUGAGACACGGUCCAG